rnacentral:tRNA from 2 species
GGUGGGGUUCCCGAGCGGCCAAAGGGAGCAGACUGUAAAUCUGCCGUCAUCGACUUCGAAGGUUCGAAUCCUUCCCGCACCACCA